rnacentral:SRP_RNA from 1 species
ACCGUCCCAGGUGCUCGGGAGGCUGAGACGGAAGGAUUGCUUGCGCCCAGGAGUUCCAGGUUGUAGCGCGCUUUGCCAGUUGGGUGUCUGCACUAAAUUUGUCAUCAAUAUGGUGACCUCCUGGAAGCAGGGGACCAUCUGGUUGCCUACAGAGGGGUGAAAUGACCCAGGUCGGAAACGGAGCCGUCAAAACUCCAGUGCUGAUCAGUAGUGAAAUCGUGUAUGUGAAGAACCACUGCACUCCAGCCUUGGUAACAUACCAAGACUCUGUCUCU